GACGAACGCUGGCGGCGUGCUUAACACAUGCAAGUCGAGCGGUAAGGCCCUUCGGGGUACACGAGCGGCGAACGGGUGAGUAACACGUGAGUAAUCUGCCCAUCACUUCGGGAUAACUCCGGGAAACCGGUGCUAAUACCGAAUAUGACCACUUCAGGCAUCUGAUGGUGGUGGAAAGUUCCGGCGGUGAUGGAUGAGCUCGCGGCCUAUCAGCUUGUUGGUGGGGUAGUGGCCUACCAAGGCUUCGACGGGUAGCCGGCCUGAGAGGGUGACCGGCCACACUGGGACUGAGACACGGCCCAGACGCCUACGGGAGGCAGCAGUGGGGAAUAUUGCACAAUAGGCGAAAGCCUGAUCCAGCAACGCCGCGUGAGGGAUGACGGCCUUCGGGUUGUAAACCUCUUUCAGCAGGGACGAAGCGAAAGUGACGGUACCUGCAGAAGAAGCACCGGCCAACUACGUG
rnacentral:rRNA from 1 species